rnacentral:ncRNA from 2 species
UGUCACGGUCGCGACUGGCGAACGGGUGGGGCACCACCGGGGAGCGACGCACAGCAGACUUCGGGUCGUACGCCUGGGCCCUUCGG